rnacentral:rRNA from 1 species
UUAGGGUGAAGUCGUAACAAGGUAGCCGUAGGAGAACCUGCGGCUGGAUCACCUCCUUUCUAAGGAUAAUUUCGG